rnacentral:tRNA from 2 species
GCGCCGUUAGCUCAGCUGGACAGAGCAAUUGCCUUCUAAGCAAUCGGUCACUGGUUCGAAUCCAGUAUGGCGCACCA